CACCUUUCCCGAGUGGCCUGUGAGGGUGUCUCCUCCUCCCUCGACCCUCAGCCUCCCUUGCCUUUUGGUCUGGCUCGCUCUCUUGGGCCAGAUGCACAACAAAUAACACAAAGCUUUGGAAGAGACUCCCUAAUUAGCUCAGGCUCUGGCCCAGAGGACUGCAUGGCUGUAUUUAACCACCUGGGAAGUGGCACUGGAAAGAUGCUGGCUCAGCACAGCCACAUCUUCUGGUGCAGGGCCAACCGCUUUCCCAAGAUGUGAUGGUGGAGGUGAGAGUAAAUGGAUUUGACUGUAUUGGGGUACCUGGUCCUCAGGGCUGCUUUUAACUCUAGCAAGUGGCCAUCAACGACUGUUUUCUUUGGCCUCAACUACAUGGUCUACAUGUUUUAGUGUGAUUCCACCCACAGCAAAUUCCAUGGCAUAGUCAAGGCUGAGAAUGGGAAACUUAUCAUCAUUGGAAAUCCCAUCUCCAUCUUUCGGGGGCAAGAUUCUGCCAACAUCAAAUGGAAUGAUGCUGGUGCUGAGUAUGUUGUGAAGU
rnacentral:lncRNA from 1 species